AACUGCCCAAGAGAUCGGGAUAACACCUGGAAACAGAUGCUAAUACCGGAUAACAACAGAUGAUGCCUAUCAACUGUUUAAAAGAUGGUUCUGCUAUCACUCUUGGAUGGACCUGCGGUGCAUUAGCUAGUUGGUAGGGUAACGGCCUACCAAGGCGAUGAUGCAUAGCCGAGUUGAGANACUGAUCGGCCACAUUGGGACUGAGACACGGCCCAAACUCCUACGGGAGGCAGCAGCC
rnacentral:rRNA from 1 species